CCCCCCCACCCCCCUCCUCCUUCUCUUCUACCACGUGAUUGCAGAGCCUCACCACUCAAUAUAGUCUUGGUGAAAACACUGAGAGAUGGAGAGAUGAGCUCAGAUGGGGAACACUGGAGCUCAGUUUCACAGGCAUAGGGCUGGGGUUGUGUGUGGAGCUCAGGGGCAAUAAGGCAUAGGGCUGGGGUUGUGUGUGGGGCUCAGGAGCAAUAAGGUAUAGGGCUGGGGUUGUGUGUGGGGCUCAGGAGCAAUAAGGUAUAGGGCUGGGGUUGUGUGUGGAGCUCAGG